CUAGGACAGCCUCUCCAUCCCCUGCUUCUGUCCCCAAAAAUACGGUGGUGAGAAUGCAUGCUCCUAUAAUCUUCUGGCAUUGAUAGAGACUCUAGCCUCAUGCUGCUUUUCCUUGUUGUGGUGGCUGCCACGUGCUGGUCUCUGGAGCACUGCCCUUUGUGCACCCAAUUGCUGAACAUUCUGCAGGAUACUGCUACUGAAAUGACUAGUUAAUAUGGAGUGUAGACUUUGGGCAGGAACAAUGUUCCUGAGCUACUGAUGAUGUACCAAGAAUUCUUCUGGCUGCAGAACACUGAGCUUCCUAUCACAUCUUCCACCUCAAAAGUUGGCCCAGCAGUCCAGUUCAGAGUUGAGUCAACUCACUCUGCUAUUGUAGGCAUACGGCAGCCCCCUGGGCUUCAACUCAGCAUCCACAGCAAAUAAAAACUCAGAGCAUCUUUGUAAAGACCUUUAGCCUGGAGAGGUUAAGGAGGUUUGAAAAUCAGAAGGAGACGGACUGGAAGAAAACUGCCUGGUCACAUCACAUCAUACUGGUCUUGGAUUCUCACAGAAGCAUCCUUAGUUAUUGUUAAAAUCCGUUACUGUAAUUAAAAAUCUGACAUUUUGGAA